GCGGGGGUGCCCGAGCAGGACAAAGGGGGCGGACUUAAGAUCCGUUGGCGAAGGCCUGCGUGGGUUCAAAUCCCACCCCCCGCA
rfam:Fervidicoccus fontis Kam940, complete genome.